ACGGGCGGAGACAGAACUGAGCUCUGGAAAGACAGAGACAGGCAGAGAUGAGCAGAGAGACACACAGAGACCAGAGAGAGAGACGAGACGAGAGGCGCGGAGACGCAGCGGUUAGAAACCUAGAGUCCCCGAGGGCCAAGAGAAGCGAACAGCCCAAUACUCUCCAAGUUCCUCCAUGCUGGCACAAAAGGUACAACCGCUUUGAUUCCCAGUGUUAGCAGCAUGGCCUGUCUGGAUGAAUGUGACUUCUUUAAAUCCUUGGUUGUUAGACUUCUGAGAACUUCCGCCAAGAUGGAGGCAUAGGUGGAUGUGCCGUGCCUUCUCACACAACCAAGUUUAGGGACAACUAAAUAUUAGCAACAGAAAACACAGCCAGAACACGGAAAAUUGAACUUUUCGGAAGUCCGUUAACAACAAAUUCUUCAGCCUGACCGGUAAGGGGCGAAACCAGCGGCUGGCGGAGCAGGGUUGCACAGGAGGA